rnacentral:rRNA from 1 species
AUUCUCAAACUUUAAAUGGGUAAGAACCUUAACUUUCUUGAUAUGAAGUUCAAGGUUAUGAUAUAAUGUGCCCAGUGGGCCACUUUUGGUAAGCAGAACUGGCGCUGUGGGAUGAACCAAACGUAAUGUUACGGUGCCCAAAUUAACAACUCAUGCAGAUACCAUGAAAGGCGUUGGUUGCUUAAAACAGCAGGACGGUGAUCAUGGAAGUCGAAAUCCGCUAAGGAGUGUGUAACAACUCACCUGCCGAAGCAACUAGCCCUUAAAAUGGAUGGCGCUUAAGUUGUAUACCUAUACAUUACCGCUAAAGUAGAUGAUUUAUAUUACUUGUGAUAUAAAUUUUGAAACUUUAGUGAGUAGGAAGGUACAAUGGUAUGCGUAGAAGUGUUUGGCGUAAGCCUGCAUGGAGCUGCCAUUGGUACAGAUCUUGGUGGUAGUAGCAAAUAAUCGAAUGAGACCUUGGAGGACUGAAGUGGAGAAGGGUUUCGUGUGAACAGUGGUUGAUCACGAGUUAGUCGGUCCUAAGUUCAAGGCGAAAGCCGAAAAUUUUCAAGUAAAACAAAAAUGCCUAACUAUAUAAACAAAGCGAAUUAUAAUACACUUGAAUAAUUUUGAACGAAAGGGAAUACGGUUCCAAUUCCGUAACCUGUUGAGUAUCCGUUUGUUAUUAAAUAUGGGCCUCGUGCUCAUCCUGGCAACAGGAACGACCAUAAAGAAGCCGUCGAGAGAUAUCGGAAGAGUUUUCUUUUCUGUUUUAUAGCCGUACUACCAUGGAAGUCUUUCGCAGAGAGAUAUGGUAGAUGGGCUAGAAGAGCAUGACAUAUACUGUUGUGUCGAUAUUUUCUCCUCGGACCUUGAAAAUUUAUGGUGGGGACACGCAAACUUCUCAACAGGCCGUACCAAUAUCCGCAGCUGGUCUCCAAGGUGAAGAGUCUCUAGUCGAUAGAAUAAUGUAGGUAAGGGAAGUCGGCAAAUUAGAUCCGUAACUUCGGGAUAAGGAUUGGCUCUGAAGAUUGAGAUAGUCGGGCUUGAUUGGGAAACAAUAACAUGGUUUAUGUGCUCGUUCUGGGUAAAUAGAGUUUCUAGCAUUUAUGUUAGUUACUUGUUCCCCGGAUAGUUUAGUUACGUAGCCAAUUGUGGAACUUUCUUGCUAAAAUUUUUAAGAAUACUAUUUGGGUUAAACCAAUUAGUUCUUAUUAAUUAUAACGAUUAUCAAUUAACAAUCAAUUCAGAACUGGCACGGACUUGGGGAAUCCGACUGUCUAAUUAAAACAAAGCAUUGUGAUGGCCCUAGCGGGUGUUGACACAAUGUGAUUUCUGCCCAGUGCUCUGAAUGUCAAAGUGAAGAAAUUCAAGUAAGCGCGGGUCAACGGCGGGAGUAACUAUGACUCUCUUAAGGUAGCCAAAUGCCUCGUCAUCUAAUUAGUGACGCGCAUGAAUGGAUUAACGAGAUUCCUACUGUCCCUAUCUACUAUCUAGCGAAACCACAGCCAAGGGAACGGGCUUGGAAUAAUUAGCGGGGAAAGAAGACCCUUUUGAGCUUGACUCUAAUCUGGCAGUGUAAGGAGACAUAAGAGGUGUAGAAUAAGUGGGAGAUAUUAGACCUCGGUUUGGUAUCGUCAAUGAAAUACCACUACUCUUAUUGUUUCCUUACUUACUUGAUUAAAUGGAACGUGUAUCAUUUCCUAGCCAUUAUACGGAUAUAUUUAUUAUAUCUUAUGGUAUUGGGUUUUGAUGCAAGCUUCUUGAUCAAAGUAUCACGAGUUUGUUAUAUAAUCGCAAACAAAUUCUUUAAUAAAACGAUGCAUUUAUGUAUUUUUGAUUUGAAAAUUUGGUAUAACUCCAAUUACUCAGGUAUGAUCCAAUUCAAGGACAUUGCCAGGUAGGGAGUUUGACUGGGGCGGUACAUCUCUCAAAUAAUAACGGAGGUGUCCCAAGGCCAGCUCAGUGCGGACAGAAACCACACAUAGAGCAAAAGGGCAAAUGCUGACUUGAUCUCGGUGUUCAGUACACACAGGGACAGCAAAAGCUCGGCCUAUCGAUCCUUUUGGUUUAAAGAGUUUUUAACAAGAGGUGUCAGAAAAGUUACCAUAGGGAUAACUGGCUUGUGGCGGCCAAGCGUUCAUAGCGACGUCGCUUUUUGAUCCUUCGAUGUCGGCUCUUCCUAUCAUUGUGAAGCAAAAUUCACCAAGCGUUGGAUUGUUCACCCAUGCAAGGGAACGUGAGCUGGGUUUAGACCGUCGUGAGACAGGUUAGUUUUACCCUACUAAUGACAAAACGUUGUUGCGACAGCAUUCCUGCGUAGUACGAGAGGAACCGCAGGUACGGACCAAUGGCACAAUACUUGUUCGAGCGAACAGUGGUAUGACGCUACGUCCGUUGGAUUAUGCCUGAACGCCUCUAAGGUCGUAUCCGUGCUGGACUGCAAUGAUAAAUAAGGGGCAAUUUGCAUUGU